rnacentral:rRNA from 1 species
GACGAACGCUGGCGGCGUGCUUAACACAUGCAAGUCGAACGGAAAGGCCCUGCUUUUGUGGGGUGCUCGAGUGGCGAACGGGUGAGUAACACGUGAGUAACCUGCCCUUGACUUUGGGAUAACUUCAGGAAACUGGGGCUAAUACCGGAUAGGAGCUCCUGCUGCAUGGUGGGGGUUGGAAAGUUUCGGCGGUUGGGGAUGGACUCGCGGCUUAUCAGCUUGUUGGUGGGGUAGUGGCUUACCAAGGCUUUGACGGGUAGCCGGCCUGGGAGGGUGACCGGCCACAUUGGGACUGAGAUACGGCCCAGAGUGCUACGGGAGGCAGCAGUGGGGAAUAUUGCACAAUGGGCGGAAGCCUGAUGCAGCAACGCCGCGGGCGGGAUGACGGCCUUCGGGUUGUAAACCGCUUUCGCCUGUGACGAAGCGUGAGUGACGGUAAUGGGUAAAGAAGCACCGGCUAACUACGUG